AGUUGGCGGGGUAAUGGCCCACCAAGCCGAAGAUGGCUAGCUGGUCUGAGAGGAUGAUCAGCCACACUGGAACUGAGACACGGUCCAGACUCCUACGGGAGGCAGCAGUGGGGAAUAUUGCGCAAUGGGGGAAACCCUGACGCAGCAACGCCGCGUGUGUGAUGAAGGCCUUCGGGUCGUAAAGCACUGUGAGGUGGAACGAGCCGCCGGGGGCUAAUACCCUUCGGCCCGACGGUACCACCAGAGGAAGCACCGGCUAACCCUGUGCCAGCAGCCGCGGUAAUACAGGGGGUGCAAGCGUUGUUCGGAAUUAUUGGGCGUAAAGCGCGUGUAGGCGGACCAUUAAGUCUGGUGUGAAAUCCCUCGGCUUAACCGAGGACGUGCAUUGGAUACUGGUGGUCUUGAGUCCUGGAGAGGGUAGCGGAAUUCCCAGUGUAGAGGUGAAAUUCGUAGAUAUUGGGAGG
rnacentral:rRNA from 1 species